GCCCGCCCUGCGGGGAAAACCCGGGAGCCCGCCUCGGAUUCCAGACGGGGCCCCGUGCUCGGCCGAGAGGAACCUUCCGAUCCCGCGGUCGGCCCCCACGGCGCGGGGUGGGCCCCGCGCCCGUGACAGCGGCGGCUGCAAAGAGGCGCUGAGCCCGCUGCUCUGGGCCGGGAGGGGCGCCUCCAAGGGCAGGUCGCCCAUCCCCAAACACCCCUGGCGCCAGCUGCGUGGCUGCACCCUGCACUGUCCUGGAAGGAGCGGCAGGGUCCCAGCCCCUUCCCUGCUGCGCCGGCUCCUGCGGGCUGCCCCACGGCUGGGGGCCUGCUGGGCAGGGGCAUGGCACCCCCUCGCUGUCCAGAUGUGGGCCUGAGGCCACCAGCCUGGUGACUGCCAUGGCCCUCCUGGGAGUCCGUCAGUGUGGGCGGUCGGGAAGGGGAGCCUCAGGCUCUCGGUGAGGCCCCCUCGCCCACGUGGGCAGGGCAGGGGCCCACCCCGGCUGGGUGGCGGGAGGGCCGCGCCCGCAGGGAGGCUGCCAGCAGCACCUGGCCCCAGGCGGCACACUUGGCCGUGGCUCUCCGCACUGGUGCAGGUGCCGCGCGGGGCAGGUGUGCUUCCCGCUGGGGGAGCAGCGUUUCUGGGCUCACUGGCAGUUGGCUGUGGUGUGAAGAGUGGCGGCCCCGCCCUGACCCUGGGGAGGCGACGGCUGUGGAAGGGGCUGCCGAGCCCCUGCCCUGGCUGCUGGCAGGGCCGGCUGAAGCCGGAGGAGCAGGCCACACCUGGGCGGGCGAGGGGCCAAGGGCCCUGGGGGAGGCCAGCCUCUGGGGGAGCCUCUGCCCAGGCCCUGUGGGUAGUCCGCCUCCCCAGGCAGCCCACCGCCCCCACCCCAGCCGCAGGGGGUAGGUGACAGUGGUGGUGGCCACAGGCCCCAGGUCAGGUGUCUGGAAUCACAGCCCGGGAUCGGGGACGACCGGCGACUCCACCAGCCAGAGACGCGGCAGGUGUGCACAGGCUUUAGUGGGCUCUGCACCUGCCUGGACAAGCUCCCCGAAGUGGCCCCAGCAACUACCGAGGAGGGGGAGAGGACGAGGAAAAAGGGGACGGGGAGGGGAGGGAAACCGCGGAGUCAGGCCUUCACGUUGUAGUUGGGGACCCUGGGGGGCCUCGGGGAGCUUUUCGGCUUUGCAGGCUGAGCCCCGGGGGCCCUGGGGGGCUGAGCCCUCGCCCGGGCACCCAUCUUCACGCCUUCAACGGCAAAGGCCCCCUGCAUCCUGGUGGGGCUCUGGCCGGCGUCUCGGUGGCUGCGGGCUGUGGAAAGCAAGAAGAGGGGCGUGUGGGCAGCUCCCCACGGGAGGCCCCAGGGGGCCACGAGGCGGAGGAGGUGGGCCAAGCCCCGCGGGCUACGCCACUGUGGAGGAGCCCACGCCCCUGCACCCUGGGCUGCGGCACGCUCACGUGACCCCAGGGCGCCCCUCGGGGCUGCGCCUGCGUGUCCUGGCCGGGGACUGUUGCAGCCGAGACAGCACGCCCCUUUCUGUGGCGCCUCGGCCCCCCGGGGUGGGCCGCCCUGGACUUGCUUGCAUAAGCCUCAGCCUUGCUCAAGAGCCACGAGCCACGUUGCUCGCUUCCCUGAUGCCCUUGUGGGACACACCAGGCCUGCUGCCCGGGCCGGGAGGGGCCCGCGCCAGCCUGCCAAGGCCACGCCGUCGGGGCGAGGCGAGCGGCCGGCAGCAGGUGGCCAG
ensembl:lincRNA